UUGGUCUUUCAUUUGACAUUUAUAAAUGUCCCCAUACAAUCCUCACAUAUAUUUUUUUCAAUAUGCAUAACAUCCAAAUUAUGUCGCAAUAAGAGAUACUCCCAUUAUGGAAGUUUAAAAAAGAUACUUUUCUUGUUCCAGUUAUCUGUUUGAACUUUAUGUGAUAUGUUCUUCCUUUUCUUUAGAUCUCUUGAUAAUUAUUGACCUUUAAGAUAUUGUACUUGAUGAAGUAUCUCUGUACUAGAAUGAUUUUUGGUGGUGGAUUUUUCUCUUCUGUAUCAUGAAAGCGCUGCUUCUCAUAUCUCCAUUUGUGACUAAGAGGAAGGUAACACCGAUGACCCAUAAAACACUACUACUUAUUGUUAGCUAAUCGAAUUGAGGAAGUAUCUUUGACAUACCAAUUUUCCUUUGGUAUUCC
rnacentral:lncRNA from 1 species